CCCGAGUUAAACCCAUGUCUCACAGCCCUUUGUCUACUGUUUCCAAUUGCAAUUGCUAAACAUCUGAAUAAACUCCUGGCUUUGUCUUUCAGGUCAAGUCUACCUCAAAGAUGUGUCAUGUUACUUCUCUGUGAUGGAGGAGGAAGAGACGCCAGACAAACUAGAACGUGCUGAAGGACAUGAUGAAGGCCAUCGAUGCUGGGAUUAACAAUGUGCCCCUGCUGGUGCUGCUGGGACUCAAGACAAGAAGCACUGACAGUCAGACUCUGAUGGCAGAAAUGGACAGGCAGCACAUCUGGAGGAUGAAGUACUUUAACAAGCCUGUGUACUGCAGCGUAUGUCAGAGCAUGCUACUGGGCCUCAGGAAAUGAGGCCUUUCCUGCAUCUGUAAGAGCUCUAUCCCGUCACUAGGGGGCGAUCUCUAUGUGUCUGAUAUUCAUAGACCGGAGUUCUGUGUGUUCCGGUAGACUGUAGUUCUGUGGUCACUAACUGAACUCUGGUCCUUGAGAGAGCUACAGUGUAUAGGCCUAAGGGCAUACAAGCUUUUGUCCCAGCCCAGCAAUUGACUAAUUUAACUAACCAAGUCCUGUAUCAGUAGUUGAUUAGUUGAAUCGUGUGUUGGGGCUGGGUUGGAAUAAAAGCCUGCAUGUCCGAUAGUUAUUCAGGACCAGGGUUGGUGAUCACUGCUGUUGUUCUUUAUGCCCCCUGAUUGCUGGACAGAUGUGUGCCAUAUCAUUCUCAAAACGAAUCCAAAUCCAAAUGAUGGGGAGCCCUGCCUAUGUAGAUUGAUGGGGAGCACUGCCUAUGUAGAUUGAUGGGGAGCACUGCCUAUGUAGAUUGAUGGUGAGCACUGCCUAUGUAGAUUGAUGGGGAGCCCUGCCUAUGUAGAUUGAUGGGGAGCACUGCCUAUGUAGAUUGAUGGUGAGCACUGCCUAUGUAGAUUGAUGGUGAGCACUGCCUAUGUAGAUUGAUGGUGAGCACUGCCUAUGUAGAUUGAUGGUGAGCACUGCAUAUGUAGAUUGAUGGUGAGCCUUGCCUAUGUAGAUUGAUGGUGAGCACUGCCUAUGUAGAUUGAUGGUGAGCCCUGCCUAUGUAGAUUGAUGGUGAGCACUGCCUAUGUAGAUUGAUGGUGAGCACUGCCUAUGUAGAUUGAUGGGGAGCCCUGCCUAUGUAGAUUGAUGGGGAGCCCUGCCUAUGUAGAUUGAUGGGGAGCCCUGCCUAUGUAGAUUGAUGGGGAGCCCUGCCUAUGUAGAUUGAUGGUGAGCACUGCCUAUGUAGAUUGAUGGUGAGCACUGCCUAUGUAGAUUGAUGGUGAGCACUGCCUAUGUAGAUUGAUGGUGAGCACUGCCUAUGUAGAUUGAUGGUGAGCCUUGCCUAUGUAGAUUGAUGGUGAGCACUGCCUAUGUAGAUUGAUGGGGAGCCCUGCCUAUGUAGAUUGAUGGGGAGCACUGCCUAUGUAGAUUGAUGGUGAGCACUGCCUAUGUAGAUUGAUGGUGAGCACUGCCUAUGUAGAUUGAUGGUGAGCACUGCCUAUGUAGAUUGAUGGUGAGCACUGCAUAUGUAGAUUGAUGGUGAGCCUUGCCUAUGUAGAUUGAUGGUGAGCACUGCCUAUGUAGAUUGAUGGUGAGCCCUGCCUAUGUAGAUUGAUGGUGAGCACUGCCUAUGUAGAUUGAUGGGGAGCCCUGCCUAUGUAGAUUGAUGGGGAGCCCUGCCUAUGUAGAUUGAUGGGGAGCCCUGCCUAUGUAGAUUGAUGGUGAGCACUGCCUAUGUAGAUUGAUGGUGAGCACUGCCUAUGUAGAUUGAUGGUGAGCACUGCCUAUGUAGAUUGAUGGUGAGCACUGCCUAUGUAGAUUGAUGGUGAGCCUUGCCUAUGUAGAUUGAUGGUGAGCCAUGCCUAUGUAGAUUGAUGGUGAGCCAUGCCUAUGUAGAUUGAUGGUGAGCCCUGCCUAUGUAGAUUGAUGGUGAGCCCUGCCUAUGUAGAUUGAUGGUGAGCCUUGCCUAUGUAGAUUGAUGGUGAGCCCUGCCUAUGUAGAUUGAUGGUGAGCCCUGCCUAUGUAGAAUGAUGGUGAGCCCUGGA
rnacentral:lncRNA from 1 species